rnacentral:rRNA from 1 species
CCUACGGGGGGCUGCAGUGGGGGAUAUUGCACAAUGGGGGGAACCCUGAUGCAGCGACGCCGCGUGGGUGAAGAAGCGCCUCGGCGCGUAAAGCCCUGUCAGCAGGGAAGAAAAUGACGGUAACUGACGAAGAAGCCCCGGCUAACUACGGGCCAGCAGCCGCGGUAAUACGUAGGGGGCAUGCGUUAUCCGGAUUUACUGGGUGUAACGGGGGCGCAGACGGCGAUGCAAGCCAGGAGUGAAAGCCCGGGGCCCAACCCCGGGACUGCUCUUGGAACUGCGUGGCUGGAGUGCAGGAGGGGCAGGCGGAAUUCCUGGUGUAGCGGUGAAAUGCGUAGAUAUCAGGAGGAACACCGGUGGCGAAGGCGGCCUGCUGGACUGCAACUGACGUUGAGGCCCGAAAGCGUGGGGAGCAAACAGGAUUAGAUACCCGGGUAGUC